CACACGCUGUUUGCUUGAACCCCGGAGUACUUGGUUGUGCAGAUACAAUCUGUAAAAUUUGUCUGUAAUGGGAGAGGAACGAGGGCCAUGAUGGAGUGGUGAGGGUAUCGAAAGGAAGCGGUGGUAUUUCCAUCGGCACGCUGCUAUGGCUGCAGAGAGAGCAUGAUGCUCGGCUCCGCUCAGGAGGUGUAUGGAAGCUGUGAAACUCCCCACCGCAGGGCCUUGUGGAUGCUAAAAACUGACUGGAGUUCAAAAAGGGACCAGACACAUUCACAGAAGGAAAAAAAGCCAGUUGCACACAAAGACACAGCCUCCUCUUCAGGAAAUCCUUGAUCUGCAAAUUGAGCUGGCUGGGAAAGUAAUCUGAAGGUGAAUCACUACAGGCUUGUCCAGCUCUUCUCCUCCUCAGACAUCUGCCAUGGCUCCCUACCAGAUGCAGGGGAAGAUGGACCACGUUUGAGCUUAAGGA
rnacentral:lncRNA from 1 species